rnacentral:rRNA from 1 species
GGGGAAUAUUGGACAAUGGGCGAAAGCCUGAUCCAGCCAUGCCGCGUGUGUGAAGAAGGUCUUCGGAUUGUAAAGCACUUUAAGUUGGGAGGAAGGGUUUCUGGCUAAUAUCCAGGAAUUUUGACGUUACCGACAGAAUAAGCACCGGCUAUCUUCGUGCCAGCAGCCGCGGUAAUACGAAGGGUGCAAGCGUUAAUCGGAAUUACUGGGCGUAAAGCGCGCGUAGGUGGUUCGUUAAGUUGGAUGUGAAAGCCCCGGGCUCAACCUGGGAACUGCAUCCAAAACGGGGGGGCUGGAGUAGGGAAGGGGGGGGGGGAAUUUCCUGUUAAGGGGGGAAAGGCGUAGAUAUAGGAAGGAACACCGGUGGGGAGGGGACCAACCGGGGCAAAUAGGGACACUAGGGUGCGAAAGCGUGGGAGCAAACA